AGAGUUUGAUCCUGGCUCAGGAUGAACGCUGGCGGCGUGCCUAACACAUGCAAGUCGAACGGAGUUAUGCAGAGGAAGUUUUCGGAUGGAAUCGGCGUAACUUAGUGGCGGACGGGUGAGUAACGCGUGGGAAACCUGCCCUGUACCGGGGGAUAACACUUAGAAAUAGGUGCUAAUACCGCAUAAGCGCACAGCUUCACAUGAAGCAGUGUGAAAAACUCCGGUGGUACAGGAUGGUCCCGCGUCUGAUUAGCCAGUUGGCAGGGUAACGGCCUACCAAAGCGACGAUCAGUAGCCGGCCUGAGAGGGUGAACGGCCACAUUGGGACUGAGACACGGCCCAAACUCCUACGGGAGGCAGCAGUGGGGAAUAUUGCACAAUGGGGGAAACCCUGAUGCAGCGACGCCGCGUGAGUGAAGAAGUAUUUCGGUAUGUAAAGCUCUAUCAGCAGGGAAGAAAAUGACGGUACUGACUAAGAAGC
rnacentral:rRNA from 1 species